rnacentral:rRNA from 1 species
GAUGAACGCUGGCGGCGUGCCUAAUACAUGCAAGUAGAACGCUGAAGGAGGAGCUUGCUCUUUCCGGAUGAGUUGCGAACGGGUGAGUAACGCGUAGGUAACCUGCCUGGCAGCGGGGGAUAACUAUUGGAAACGAUAGCUAAUACCGCAUAACAGUAGAUAUUGCAUGAUAUUUGCUUGAAAGGGGCAAUUGCUCCACUACCAGAUGGACCUGCGUUGUAUUAGCUAGUUGGUGAGGUAACGGCUCACCAAGGCGACGAUACAUAGCCGACCUGCGAGGGUGAUCGGCCACACUGGGACUGAGACACGGCCCAGACGCCUACGGGAGGCAGCAGUAGGGAAUCUUCGGCCAUGGACGGAAGUCUGACCGAGCAACGCCGCGUGAGUGAAGAAGGGUGUCGGAUCGUAAAGCUCUGUUGUAAGAGAAGAACGAGUGUGAGAGUGGAAAGUUCACACUGUGACGGUAUCUUACCAGAAAGGGACGGCUAACUACGUG